CCUACGGGAGGCAGCAGUGGGGAAUUUUCCGCAAUGGGCGAAAGCCUGACGGAGCAACGCCGCGUGAGGGAUGAAGGCCUCUGGGCUGUAAACCUCUUUUAUCAAGGAAGAAGAUCUGACGGUACUUGAUGAAUAAGCCACGGCUAAUUCCGUGCCAGCAGCCGCGGUAAUACGGGAGUGGCAAGCGUUAUCCGGAAUUAUUGGGCGUAAAGCGUCCGCAGGCGGCCCUUCAAGCCUGCUGUUAAAACGUGGAGCUUAACUCCAUCAUGGCAGUGGAAACUGUUGGGCUUGAGUGUGGUAGGGGCAGAGGGAAUUCCCGGUGUAGCGGUGAAAUGCGUAGAUAUCGGGAAGAACACCAGUGGCGAAGGCGCUCUGCUGGGCCAUCACUGACGCUCAUGGACGAAAGCCAGGGGAGCGAAAGGGAUUAGAUACCCCUGUAGUCCUGGCCGUAAACGAUGAACACUAGGUGUCGGGGGAAUCGACCCCCUCGGUGUCGUAGCCAACGCGUUAAGUGUUCCGCCUGGGGAGUACGCACGCAAGUGUGAAACUCAAAGGAAUUGACGG
rnacentral:rRNA from 1 species